rnacentral:rRNA from 1 species
UACGGGAGGCAGCAGUGGGGAAUAUUGCACAAUGGGCGAAAGCCUGAUGCAGCGACGCCGCGCUGAACGAAGAAGUAUUUCGGUAUGUAAAGUUCUAUCAGCAGGGAAGAAAAAUGACGGUACCUGACUAAGAAGCUCCGGCUAAAUACGUGCCANCAGCCGCGGUAAU